rnacentral:rRNA from 1 species
AUACGGAGGGUGCGAGCGUUGUUCGGAAUUAUUGGGCGUAAAGAGCAUGUAGGCGGUCUGUUAAGUCUGGUGUGAAAGCCCGGGGCUCAACCCCGGAAGUGCAUUGGAUACUGGCAGACUUGAGUAUGGGAGAGGAAAGCGGAAUUCCGAGUGUAGGAGUGAAAUCCGUAGAUAUUCGGAGGAACACCAGUGGCGAAGGCGGCUUUCUGGACCAAUACUGACGCUGAGAUGCGAAAGCGUGGGGAGCAAACAGGAUUAGAAACCCCUGUAGUCC